CCACCUGCCGGUUGUGGAGCAAUUUUAAGAACCUCCGGAUGUCCUGCUCCACCAAAUGAACAGAACUGUAGCAUUGGGAUAUGUCCAGGAGAGCCGCCGCGUACCCAGCUGCCGGGUUUCUGUGGAGGUUCGGAGACGGCGGAGAGGAGAGGCGGAUGGGGUUGGAGAACGAAGGGGUGGAAGAUAAAGGGGGAGGCUUUUGAAGAAAAGAUGGGGUCUUGGUGGAGAUGAAGCUGCUGGGUUUGGUGGUGGUGGAGUGGAGGCUGUGGAGGAGGUUGGGCGGCUGUGGUUGCGGAGGGAGUUUGUGAGUUUUUCUGGGACUUUGAGGAUUGAAGUGGUGGAGCUCGCGAGACGAUGUGGUGGAAUGGAUAGUGGAGACAUUGAGGGUUGACACAGAGCUUGAGAAGGUAUCCAUGGAGGAGAAGGAGAUGAUGAGGAUAAAUGUCAGUAAAUGAAUAUUGGGUAAUAUCUA
rnacentral:lncRNA from 1 species